ensembl:lncRNA novel transcript
CUGGUUCAACAAGCAGAGGAGCUGGGAUUUUCCAUCCUAAAGAGGAUGUGGCCGGGAUGGAACUCCAUCACCAUCCUGAAGCCACAGCAGAGGUGGCAGGUAACAGACAGUCCAGAGCUGCUCACUGUCUUCAUACAUGACGUGAGGACGGUGGUUCCAGUGCGCCGCAAGGUGGGACUGAGGUUCAGAGUUGAGAGGAAACAAUAGGAAGGGGCUGAGAUGCUGCAACAGGUCACGGGCUGCUAUUGUAAACACUUUUUUAAGGAUAGGUUCAAAUAAGAGCUUCUUGGCUUGGAGAACUGAGGGGAAGUAUGACUAAGAAGUAUUAGGUUGGUGCAAAACUAAUUGCAGUUUUUGCCAUUAAAAGUAAUGACAAAAACUGCAAUUUCUUUUGCACUAACCUAAUAUUCUGAGGACAAGAAGACAUUUAAUACCACAUGACUUUUUUUAAGUAAGAGGUCUCAUUUUCUAAAUAACUUGAAAAUAGAGGCUCUCCAAGGGUUCCGUUACAGGAGAGAAUAAUCAGAGGUGAAGAAAACCCAUUUAGAGCUGACUCCCUUUCCCAGGGAAUGAGCUUUUGGUCCUCAUAGACUGGCAUCCUGCAGACACGCAGAGAGAAAGAAUAAAGCCUGCCUGUGCA